AAUGAACGCUGGCGGCGUGCCUAACACAUGCAAGUCGGAUGUGCCGCAAGGUGCAUGGCAGACGGGUGAGUAACGCGUAGGGAAUCUACCUCUUUGUGGGGAAUAACGCUCCGAAAGGAGUGGUAAUACCGCAUGAGACCGCGAGCUGGGAUGCUUGUGGUGAAACCUGGGGACCGCAAGGCCUGGGGCAAGGAGAGGAUCCUGCGUCUGAUUAGCUAGUUGGCGGGGUAAUGGCCCACCAAGGCGACGAUCAGUAGCCGGCCUGAGAGGGUGAUCGGCCACACUGGAACUGAGACACGGUCCAGACUCCUACGGGAGGCAGCAGUGGGGAAUUUUGCGCAAUGGACGAAAGUCUGACGCAGCAACGCCGCGUGGGUGAUGAAGGUCUUCGGACUGUAAAACCCUGUCGUCAGGGACGAAGGUUUGGGGGUUAAUAACCCUUAAGCUUGACGGUACCUGGAGAGGAAGCCCCGGCUAACUCUGUGCCAGCAGCCGCGGUAAUACAGAGGGGGCAAGCGUUAUUCGGAAUUACUGGGCGUAAAGGGCGCGUAGGCGGUUCUUUAAGUCGGAUGUGCAAUCCCCGAGCUCAACUUGGGAACUGCAUCCGAAACUGGGGAGCUAGAGUACUGGAGAGGGUGGUAGAAUUCCACGUGUAGCGGUGAAAUGCGUAGAGAUGUGGAGGAAUACCAGUGGCGAAGGCGGCCACCUGGACAGUAACUGACGCUGAGGCGCGAAAGUGUGGGUAGCAAACAGGAUUAGAUACCCUGGUAGUCCACACUGUAAACGAUGAACACUUGGUGUGGCGG
rnacentral:rRNA from 1 species